GCGAAUUUAAGUCAAAUGGUUAGACAAUCUGUCUUCCACACAGAAGGUAUGGGUUCAAGUCCCAUAAUUCGUA